rnacentral:rRNA from 1 species
GGAAUUUUGCGCAAUGGGCGCAAGCCUGACGCAGCAACGCCGCGUGGAGGAAGAAGGCCCUCGGGUCGUAAACUCCUGUCCUUGGGGAAGAUGGUGACGGUACCCUUGGAGGAAGCCCCGGCUAACUCCGUGCCAGCAGCCGCGGUAAUACGGGGGGGGCGAGCGUUGUUCGGAUUUACUGGGCGUAAAGGGCGCGCAGGCGGCGCCGGAAGUCCUGGGUGAAAGCUCCCGGCUCAACUGGGAGAGGGCCUGGGAAACCACGGUGCUGGAGUGCUGGAGAGGGAAGUGGAAUUCCAGGUGUAGCGGUGAAAUGCGUAGAUAUCUGGAAGAACACCAGUGGCGAAGGCGGCUUCCUGGAUCAAGACUGACACUGAGGCUCGAAAGCGUGGGGAGCA